rnacentral:rRNA from 1 species
UAAGGAAUAUUGGUCAAUGGAGGCAACUCUGAACCAGCCAUGCCGCGUGUGUGACGAAGGCCCUUUGGGUUGUAAAGCACUUUUGUCUGGGAAGAAUGGCAGAGAUUUAUCUUUGUAGGGACGGUACCAGAAGAAUAAGCACCGGCUAACUCCGUGCCAGCAGCCGCGGUAAUACGGAGGGUGCAAGCGUUAUCCGGAAUCACUGGGUUUAAAGGGUACGUAGGCGGUUACAUAAGUCAGACGUUAAAGA